AGCUUGCUCGAAGAUGGUGAGAGUGGCGCACGGGUGCGUAACGCGUGAGCAACCUACCUCUAUCAGGGGGAUAGCCUCUCGAAAGAGAGAUUAACACCGCAUAAUAUCAACAGUUCGCAUGUUCGGUUGAUUAAAUAUUUAUAGGAUAGAGAUGGGCUCGCGUGACAUUAGCUAGUUGGUAGGGUAACGGCUUACCAAGGCGACGAUGUCUAGGGGCUCUGAGAGGAGAAUCCCCCACACUGGUACUGAGACACGGACCAGACUCCUACGGGAGGCAGCAGUAAGGAAUAUUGGUCAAUGGGCGGAAGCCUGAACCAGCCAUGCCGCGUGCAGGAUGACUGCCCUAUGGGUUGUAAACUGCUUUUGUCCAGGAAUAAACCUAUAUACGUGUAUGUAGCUGAAUGUACUGGAAGAAUAAGGAUCGGCUAACUCCGUGCCAGCAGCCGCGGUAAUACGGAGGAUCCGAGCGUUAUCCGGAUUUAUUGGGUUUAAAGGGUGCGUAGGCGGCCUAUUAAGUCAGGGGUGAAAUACGGUGGCUCAACCAUCGCAGUGCCUUUGAUACUGAUGGGCUUGAAUCCAUUUGAAGUGGGCGGAAUAAGACAAGUAGCGGUGAAAUGCAUAGAUAUGUCUUAGAACUCCGAUUGCGAAGGCAGCUCACUAAGCUGGUAUUGACGCUGAUGCACGAAAGCGUGGGGAUCGAACAGGAUUAGAUACCCUGGUAGUCCACGCCCUAAACGAUGAUAACUCGAUGUUGGCGAUAGACAGCCAGCGUCCAAGCGAAAGCGUUAAGUUAUCCACCUGGGGAGUACGCCCGCAAGGGUGAAACUCAAAGGAAUUGACGGGGGCCCGCACAAGCGGAGGAGCAUGUGGUUUAAUUCGAUGAUACGCGAGGAACCUUACCCGGGCUUGAAAGUUAGUGAAGAGUGCAGAGACGCACUCGUCCUUCGGGACACGAAACUAGGUGCUGCAUGGCUGUCGUCAGCUCGUGCCGUGAGGUGUUGGGUUAAGUCCCGCAACGAGCGCAACCCCUAUGUUUAGUUGCCAGCAUGU
rnacentral:rRNA from 1 species